UGCGUAGGGGGCAAGCGUUGUCCGGAAUCAUUGGGCGUAAAGCGCGCGUAGGUGGUCAUGUAAGUCCGCUGUGAAAGUCAAAGGCUCAACCUUUGAAAGCCGGUGGAUACUGCAUGACUAGAGUACGGAAGAGGCGAGUGGAAUUCCUGGUGUAGCGGUGGAAUGCGCAGAUAUCAGGAGGAACACCGAUGGCGAAGGCAGGUCUCUGGGCCACUACUGACGCUGAGAAGCGAAAGCAUGGGGAGCGAACAGG
rnacentral:rRNA from 1 species